UCUCCAGAGAUGAGGGUGAUCUCCGAUCCCAGACAAGUCCCCAAAUGAAUGACCCCCAAAGCGGGGAGACCCUGACUCAAGUCUUGGAAUGACCCGACACCCCAAGAAUUCAUGAGAGACC
rnacentral:pre_miRNA from 14 species